ACUGACCCUGGCUGCAAAUUAAAUUUGCUGCCACUAGGUCUAGGGGUGCCUAGGACGCAACACAAAAAGGCCCCAUCUUCCCCGUCUCCCAAGUAGCCACAAACAAUUAUGUUUCCCUCAUGACAAAGAAAUUG